GAUGAAUGAUUGUUAACAGUCAGAAUUUGGAUGUGGUAGUGGUGUUUCUUUUAAAAAUCUUUCGAGGAAGGAUCGCUAAUUUUGAGGAGUCAGAGUAGAGCCAUGGAAAUGCUGGCAUGAAUUUGGAGUCAUAUAGUAUGUGUGAUUGGGAGGCCUGGGUAACUGAAGCUCACUGAGACUCAUUUUCCUGUUCUGUAAAAUGGGGAUAGUAAGACCUACCUUGCAAGGCUGCUAAAAAAUCAGGAAUAAUGUGUGUAAAGCACCAAGCACUGAGUUGGCCGCACAUGCUCCAGGAUGAUGAAGGUGGAAGUGAUGAAGCUGAUGUGAAGAGGCUUCAAAGAGAGAUAUCGGAGCCUCCCCUUGAAAGACGUAUAGAAAUUCUACAAAAGGAAAGGAAGAGAGGAUGGUCCAGGCAAAGGAGGAAGUACAAGGUGAGCAUAAAGGUACAACAUUUGGGCUUUGGGCAGGGAUGUUGUCCUGUCUUGAGCACAGUGCUGUCACGUGGUUAAGGAUCAUGGGAGAGGAGGUGGAAAGGCCAUGCUGCUCAAGACUGGAGAUGGCUUUGCACACACAAAUGCCACCGGUCUUGGUGUCUUGAGCAGGAGGCAGACAAUGAAACUGUGCCAGACACCCUCCACCUGCCCCUCCAGAUCCACCCUCCACUCACCUCCGUCUGCUUGUGACCUCGGGGCUGAUCGGCUGUGGACCACAUCAAUGGGCUCCCUUGCCCUCUGGCUUCCAAUAGGCUUUGGCCAAGGGGACACGGGGAAGAAAUCAAAAGCAAGAAGACUAAGACUGGGGUAUUUAUUCCCUUGAUGGAAGAUCACAGCACCCAUCAGGUGGCCUUGUACCCUGCUGUCUCUCCCGAGGAUGGGCGAGCACUCUCUGCCCCACGAAGUCCCGCAGAGACAUGGUGAAAGCACCUCACUGAUACUGGU